UACGAAGGGGGCUAGCGUUGCUCGGAAUCACUGGGCGUAAAGGGUGCGUAGGCGGGUCUUUUAAGUCAGGGGUGAAAUCCUGGAGCUCAACUCCAGAACUGCCUUUGAUACUGAGGAUCUUGAGUUCGGGAGAGGUGAGUGGAACUGCGAGUGUAGAGGUGAAAUUCGUAGAUAUUCGCAAGAACACCAGUGGCGAAGGCGGCUCACUGGCCCGAUACUGACGCUGAGGCACGAAAGCGUGGGGAGCAAACAGGGAUUAGAAACCCCGAGUACG
rnacentral:rRNA from 1 species